UACGGAGGGUGCAAGCGUUAUCCGGAUUCACUGGGUUUAAAGGGUGCGUAGGUGGGUUGGUAAGUCAGUGGUGAAAUCUCCGAGCUUAACUUGGAAACUGCCAUUGAUACUAUCAGUCUUGAAUAUUGUGGAGGUCAGCGGAAUAUGUCAUGUAGCGGUGAAAUGCUUAGAUAUGACAUAGAACACCGAUAGCGAAGGCAGCUUGCUACACGAGUAUUGACACUGAGGCACGAAAGCGUGGGGAUCAAACAGG
rnacentral:rRNA from 1 species